AUGGAUCACAAACUUCUCAUAGAGUUUUGGAACGUGCAUGAGCUUAACUGCCGUGCCAAGCGCACUGCCGUCCGUUCGGUUGUCUCUUCGGCAGACCCAUGUAUUGUGUGUCUCUCUGAAACUAAGCUCAGUUCCGUUUCGUUGUCGGCUUUGAUGGAAACCCUGGGUGCUUCCUUUGUGGAUUUCUUUUUUCUCCCGGCCACUGACACCCGUGGCGGUGUUCUCCUGGCCUGGCGCAGCGACCACGUCUCCCUCGCUAACCCCAUCGUUGGGGUCUACCACGUCUCGGCCACCGUCUCUCGUGGUCCUGAUUCCACCCCCUGGUGUCUCACGUAUGUCUACGGGCCACAGGCCGUGGCCGACAAGCUCGCCUUCGUGUCUGAGCUCCACGAGCUGCGGGACAUCAUUGCUGGUCCAUGGCUCAUUGGCGGCGAUUUCAACCUGGUCACCUCGAGCGCCGAUAAGAGCAAUGGCAACAUCAACCAGCGCACCUCUGGCUGA
rnacentral:rRNA from 1 species